UACAGAGGGUGCAAGCGUUAAUCGGAUUUACUGGGCGUAAAGCGUGCGUAGGCGGCCGCGUAAGUCGGAUGUGAAAUCCCUGGGCUUAACCUGGGAACUGCAUUCGAUACUGCGUGGCUAGAGUACGGUAGAGGGUGGCGGAACUCCGGGUGUAGCGGUGAAAUGCGUAGAUAUCCGGAGGAACGCCGAUGGCGAAGGCAGCCACCUGGGCCUGUACUGACGCUGAGGUGCGAAAGCGUGGGGAGCAAACAGG
rnacentral:rRNA from 1 species